rnacentral:lncRNA from 1 species
AAGGACCUGGUCAGAGCCCUCAGUCAACCUCCAGUGGAUGCAAGACUUUGUUAGUUUAACCUCUGAGAUUUGGGAGGUUUUUGGUCUUAACUGAAGCACAGCCUAGGUUCACAUACCUUUUGAUAACGAGGUUAUUGGAAAAAGGAUAUACAGUGCUCUCUCGCCUCUUAGCACCUGAAGUGAAUGACAGUAAUGGAACUUGACAGUGGGUAAUUUGGCAAAAUGACUGUCCUCCAGCAUUCAAGAUGGUUGCAAGAGUUCCAGGCAUCACAGCAGAUAUGGCGACGUGCUGCAGCAAAAGAAACUGUUUUGUGCUUUGACUUUUUUAAAAUAGAGAAGCAACCUUUCCCAGGAGCAGUCUCUGCAGAAACCCUAAGAUCUUAUUGGUCUGUAUCACAUCCCAUGCUUAUGGUUGAUCAAAAUAGAUUGAAUCUUGAGGUUGGGAUAAGACCACCCUCCCUGAGGGAGACGUGUGUCAACUACAUGAGGUUCUGUAGGAAGGAAGAAGGGGAAAUACCCAUAGUAGAGUCAAGCAUCAAUGACUGCUAGAGUAUUUGAAUUUGUUUCCAAAUUCCAGUUUGUUUUUUCCUGUUGUCAUUCCUGCUGAAAAUCAGGAGAGCAUAUAGAUGUAGAAUUUGUUUACAUUUGUUUGAGGUGGUGAAGAAAAUAGUGAAUUCCUUGUAUAUCGUUCCUACUAAUCCUUCUUGGUUAACCACAUUUCUUGUUUGUUUCCUCUCUCAUCAUCUAUAGUGUUUCCAACUUUUACUUUAGAGAUAAGACCUGGUUCCUUUUUGCAGCCCACGUAUAGCAAUAUCAUCAUUGUUACAUGUUUAACUUGAUCCCAAGGGUUUGUAUGCCAAGUAUAGUAUGUUAUAUAGAGAAAAAUCACUGAACAAGAAUCAGCUUAUGCACGUGUGUGUGUUGUAGUGGGGGACAGUUGUUGGUGAAUACUACUUUCCUAACACUAGAGAAACAACAUUCAGAAGAUGUUCAAGUUGCUGCAGGAAACAACGAAAGGAAGGAAACGUUAGUCAAGGGUGAAAGGCACCAUAUGUCCUCCAGUACCUGGGCACAACAGGGAGUCGGCCUAAUAGCUGUCUUAACGCACCCUGCUGUGAGUAGGUAUUGAGGACAUAUGGUAUAUUUCACCCUGAACUGUGAAUUUCCUGAAACAGCUGUAAUGCUCUUUUAAUGUAGUUUGUGUGAGCCAUUAUAUAUAAGCCAGGAUGUUUGAAGCGUCCCCCUUUCUCCCACUCACACUAGCCAAAGGACAUUUCUAUGUUGUUAAUGUUUGCUUCGAACUAUUGGACUUUAACCAUUUUGAAAUGUUAUGUGCCCAACUCCCUCCAUUUUUGCUCUCUUUCUCCACAAAUCUAUCUUUCUCUCUCCAUUUCUCAAUCUAAUUUCCUCUUCUUCUUUUCUUAUUUUCUGUACACAGCAAAGGAUACAAGUGAGGAAAGGAAGUGGAACUUUUUUCAAGUUGUUUUUAAAGUGACAGCUUGCAUAUCAAAACUGUUUACAGGCAUUUUUAUUUCAAAAAUAUUGAAUAAAAUCUGGAUCUCAAUUUCA